rnacentral:rRNA from 1 species
CCUACGGGGGGCAGCAGUGGGGGAUAUUGCACAAUGGGGGGAACCCUGAUGCAGCGACGCCGCGUGGGUGAAGAAGCGCCUCGGCGCGUAAAGCCCUGUCAGCAGGGAAGAAAAUGACGGUACCUGAAGAAGAAGCCCCGGCUAACUACGUGCCAGCAGCCGCGGGAAUACGUAGGGGGCAAGCGUUAUCCGGAUUGACUGGUGGUAAAGGGGGAGGAGACGGCGAUGCAAGCCAGGCGUGAAAGCCCGGGGCCCAACCCCGGGACGGCUCUUGGAACUGCGUGGCUGGAGUGCAGGAGGGGCAGGCGGAAUUCCUGGUGUAGCGGGGAAAUGCGGAGAGAUCAGGAGGAACACCGGUGGCGAAGGCGGCCUGCUGGACUGCAACUGACGUUGAGGCCCGAAAGCGUGGGGAGCAAACAGGAUUAGAUACCCCAGUAGUC